UAAGGAAUCUUCCACAAUGGGCGAAAGCCUGAUGGAGCAACGCCGCGUGCAGGAUGAAGGCCCUCGGGUCGUAAACUGCUUUUAUGAGUGAAGAAUAUGACGGUAACUCAUGAAUAAGCACCGGCUAACUACGUGCCAGCAGCCGCGGUCAUACGUUGGGUGCAAGCAUUAUCCGGAGUGACUGGGCGUAAAGAGUUGCGUAGGCGGUUAGUAAAGCGAAUAGUGAAACCUGGUGGCUCAACCAUACAGACUAUUAUUCGAACUCACUAACUCUGGAGUGGUAGAGGUAACUGGAAUUGCUUGUGGAGGAGUGAAAUCCGUAGAUAUACGGAGGAACACCAAUGGCGUAGGCAGGUUACUGGACCAGUUCUGACGCUAA
rnacentral:rRNA from 1 species